rnacentral:rRNA from 1 species
UGGGGAAUAUUGGACAAUGGGCGCAAGCCUGAUCCAGCCAUGCCGCGUGAGUGAUGAAGGCCUUAGGGUUGUAAAGCUCUUUUAGCAGGGAAGAUAAUGACGGUACCUGCAGAAAAAGCCCCGGCUAACUUCGUGCCAGCAGCCGCGGUAAUACGAAGGGGGCUAGCGUUGCUCGGAAUUACUGGGCGUAAAGCGCACGUAGGCGGACUCUUAAGUCGGUGGUGAAAUCCUGGAGCUCAACUCCAGAACUGCCUUCGAUACUGGGAGUCUUGAGUUCGGGAGAGGUGAGUGGAACUGCGAGUGUAGAGGUGAAAUUCGUAGAUAUUCGCAAGAACACCAGUGGCGAAGGCGGCUCACUGGCCCGAUACUGACGCUGAGGUGCGAAAGCGUGGGUAGCAAACA